AUACUCUGGUUUCUCUUCAGAUCGUAUAAAUCUUUCGCCUUUUACUAAAGAUUUCCGUGGAGAGGAACAAGCACGAGUGUCGUGAAAUUUUUUGAGGCUCCGCUUCGGCGGAGCU
ensembl:snRNA U5 U5 spliceosomal RNA